CGUUUAGGGGUAAACCUGAGAAACCCGAAAGGUCGAAGGGAGAAAUUCAUUCGCGUUUCGACGUAGGCGGCGAUCGGUCGAGUGACGGAAAACUUCGUGUUUUUUGCGCCGAUCGUUUGUCGAACCCGCGGCGAACGCGUGCACUUUUCUCCUGGUAGGACGUCGCGAUCCGUUGGGUGUCGGUCUACGGCUUGCGGUGGUGCCCGUUCGUCGCUUCGGCUUCGGACGAACCCGCAAUGACCCGGCCGACUCGCUCGACGGUAUACAAUAGGUCGGAGGCCGCUCUCGAAGCGUUCGGCUCGUUGCAAGCGCGCCAGUUGCGUCGGAACGCGGACCUAGUGCCGCGUCUGGCCGCUGGUGACUGUUGGCAACGAAGUUCUCGAACUGACCUCUUCUUGAUUGAGACCGAUCUGCGACGCUAUAGCUUUGGGUACUUUCAGGACCCGUCUUGAAACACGGACCAAGGAGUCUAGCAUGUGCGCGAGUCAUUGGGAAUCAUUAAACCUAAAGGCGCAAUGAAAGUAAAUGUCUUCCUUGCGAGGACAUAGGGAAGACGGACGGUUUGCCUUUAAAGCGGUCGUCCCGCAUUCCCGGGGCGUCUCGUUCUCUUCGCGAGAAGAGGCGCACCAAGAGCGUACACGCUGGGACCCGAAAGAUGGUGAACUAUGCCUGGUCAGGACGAAGUCAGGGGAAACCCUGAUGGAGGUCCGUAGCGAUUCUGACGUGCAAAUCGAUCGUCGGAACUGGGUAUAGGGGCGAAAGACUAAUCGAACCAUC
rnacentral:rRNA from 1 species